rnacentral:lncRNA from 1 species
AUCCAAGAUGGCAGUGUGUGUCCAAGAUGGUGGUGCUUAUCCAAGAUGGCCGUGUGUGUCCAAGAUGGUGUGUGUCCAAGAUGGUGGUGCUUAUCCAAGAUGGCGGUGUCUGUCCAAGAUGGCGGUGUGUCUCCACAAUGACACUGUGUCCAUGAUGGCCAAGAUGGUGGCGUGUGUCCACGAUGGUGGUGUGUGUCCAAGAUGGUGGUGUCUGUCCAAGAUGGCGGUGUGUGUCCAUGAUGGCGGUGUGUGUCCACGAUGGCCAAGAUAGUGUGUGUCCACGAUGGCGGUGUGUGUCCAUGAUGGCGGUGUGUGUCCAAGAUGGCAGUGUGUGUCCAUGAUGGUGGUGUGUGUCCAAGAUGGAGGUAUCUGUCCAAGAUGGCGGUGUGUGUCCACGAUGGGGGUGUCUGUCCACGAUGGGGGAUGGGGGUGUCUGUCCAAGAUGGCGGUGUGUCUCCACAAUGACACUGUGUCCAUGAUGUCCACGAUGGUGGUAUGUGUCCAAGAUGGCGGUGUGUGUCCCAGAUGGUGGUGUGUGUCCACGAUGGCCAAGAUAGCAGUGUGUGUCCACGAUGGCGGUGUGUGUCCAUGAUGGCGGUGUGUGUCCAAGAUGGUGGUG